UGGGGAAUAUUGGACAAUGGGCGAAAGCCUGAUCCAGCCAUGCCGCGUGAGUGAUGAAGGCCUUAGGGUUGUAAAGCUCUUUUGUCAGGGAAGAUAAUGACGGUACCUGAAGAAUAAGCACCGGCUAACUUCGUGCCAGCAGCCGCGGUAAUACGAAGGGUGCUAGCGUUGUUCGGAAUUACUGGGCGUAAAGCGCGCGUAGGCGGCUACUCAAGUCAGGGGUGAAAUCCCGGAGCUUAACUCCGGAACUGCCUUUGAAACUGUGUAGCUGGAGUGUGUGAGGGGAUGGCGGAAUUCCUAAUGUAGAGGUGAAAUUCGUAGAUAUUAGGAGGAACACCGGUGGCGAAGGCGGCCAUCUGGCACACAACUGACGCUGAGGCGCGAAAGCGUGGGGAUCAAA
rnacentral:rRNA from 1 species